rnacentral:rRNA from 1 species
UACGAGCCUGACGAACGUUAUUCGGAAUCACUGGGCUUAAAGGGUGCGUAGGCGGCGCGGAGAGUCGGGGGUGAAAUACCUCAGCUUAACUGAGGAACUGCACUCGAUACUUCCGUGCUAGAGUAAGACAGAGGUGAGUGGAACUGAGGGUGGAGCGGUGAAAUGCGUUGAUAUCCUCAGGAACACCGGUGGCGAAGGCGACUCACUGGGUCUUUACUGACGCUGAUGCACGAAAGCUAGGGUAGCAAACGGG